CCUACGGGUGGCAGCAGUCGAGAAUCAUUCUCAAUGGGGGAAACCCUGAUGGUGCGACGCCGCGUGGGGGAAUGAAGUUCUUCGGAUUGUAAACCCCUGUUAUGUGGGAGCAAAUUAAAAAGAGCGUACCACAAUACGUAGAGCCGGCUAACUCUUUUCGAGCAACCGCGGUAAUACAGAGGUCUCAAGCUUUGGUCGGCAUCCCUGGGGGUAAAGUGUGCGGAGGCUGUUUCGUUAGGGGGGUGGGAAAGGGGCGGGCUCAACCCGCGGACGGCCCAUGAUACUGGGAGACUAGAGUGAGGGAGGGGGAACCGGAAUACGCGGUGUAGCGGUGAAAUGCGUAGAUAUCGAGCAGAACACUCGUGGCGAAGGCAGGUUCCUGGACAGUAACUGACGCUGAGGCACGAAAGCGAGGGUAGCGAAAAGGAUUAGAUACCCCAGUAGUC
rnacentral:rRNA from 1 species